UGAACAAUUACUAUAAGCCAGGUACUAUGCACAAACACUUCGUAGGAAGGUGAUUUAGCACCAUUUUACAGAUAAGGUAAUUGAGGGGUAGAAAGGUUGAAUAACUUGUUUCACAUCACACAGCUAUUGAGUUGUACAACUAGGUCUCAUACUUCCUAUUUGUGGAAUUGGAUAGAUCUAAGAAAGAUAUGGCAAUGUAAAUUUCAGAAGAGCAGGUCAAGACUAAAAAUAAAGACUGAACAGCCUUUGGUUGCUCAUAGUUGGAUUGGAUGCUUUAUAAUCAGAAGAUCUUAGCUAUAUCCUUUAAAUCAUAAUGCCAGGUAUCACCAGUUUACCAGUACAAAUGUGAAGGGAAGGGAAUGAGGGAGCAGCAAAUGAGCUUUGCUGCUUUUAAAGAGUACUGUUUAAGUAUUUGGAAAUUAAAGUUACAGAAAUUACAGCAAGCAUCCAAGUACAGUGACAAUCCAUCAUGAUUUAAAAUUAGUGAACAUUUGUAUUGUAGAAAGCCCAUAUUAAUUCACUUGUGUAAAAUAAGUCACAGAAUUGGCAAUGGAAGCACAAUGAGCCAGGACCAACAAGACUUUGAUCAGGCAAUAAGUCAGCUGGUUUGUUGAGCUACUAUUGAGCUUUUGUUUUGCUUUUCUCCCUCUGAAAAACAGAGAACUCUAAUCUUUUUUGCUCGGCAAGGACAUGUAAAAUUUGAUUUUAAGUAGAUUUCAUUGCACUACACAAAGGUUUUUUUGUGUUUUGCUUUUUCUUGGAUGAAUGAAUAUAGUACUUUGACUUUAGAUAUCAAGGAUAUUUGUAAUCAAAAUAAUAAGCCGUUAAAAUUCCACUCACAAGUGAUUUGGAAAUAAUUCAGAGAAAAAAAUGAGGGAUCAUUACAUUUCAAUCCUGAAGAGCAUGAGUGUCUUUUCAAAUUUUAUUGUUCAGAAGGUGAAUCAUUUCUAGUUACAUGCUCAUAUAAAAGGCUUGUACUUUUUGGUAUGAUCAUACAAGCAACCUUUGAAUUUAUCCAGGCAAGGAGAGACUAGUUUUGGGAAUGUCCUAAGCUCACAGGUAGUAGCCAGUGAAACAACAUCUGUAGAUGAGUGUCUGAGUAGGAUUUUGCCAAAGAGCAAAUGAACAUAAUGAGCUGGAUUGCCAUGUAUAUGAGCAUUGGUGGAUGUCAGCUGAUGGAGCUAAUGGCUUCCAGGGCCAGAGCUGCUAACAGUGCUGGUAUAUGUGCUGAUGUUAUGGUCGAGCAGAUCAGUCCCAGGAAAGACCAGAAUGUGACAGUUUUACCUGUCAUUUUGACAUGCUGAAAAUGAGAGACAAGAGCUAUUUGAUGAUGAUCAUGCAUAGGUUUUGACUAUCCUUCAAAGCACAGAAAAUGCUGCAAUAAGCUUGGUUUUGUGAGGAACAUUACAAUUCUGAAAUAGUUCUGAGGCCUUUUGGGUUUCUCUGGACUGGGUUUUAAUGCAGCCUGUGCCUAGAUUACAAAAGUGAGUCUUUUUCCUGAGAGAGGCUUACAGGAACAUGUGGCCUGGACAGGAACUGGUGUUAUUAUUGAUGCACAGAACAUGGGUGAUCAUUGAGAGUAAAACAUAUCCAAGAAAGACCAGCAGUCAUGGCAAAGCAUGAGACAUACAAAUUCCCUGAUUAUUGGAAAGGGCUGUUUACCUGCUUUUAGAGUAGGCUCUAUAUCUGAUACUCUCUCCUGCCACUUAUGCAUGUGUCAUAGCAAUGAGGUAAUGUGACUCUAUGCCAUGGGUAGUAUGAACCCAGUGCAUGGACCGUGAAGCCAUGUCUGCACUUAUUUGCAUGAAAAUGGGAUUAGAAACAGCCAUAGAUGUUUUGAAGAAAAUAAAUGAAUUAAGCAUUCAAAUUAAGAUUUUUUUUCCACAAAGGCUGUUAAAUUUACAUAAGAGCAGAUUGAUUUGAGACCAUGAAUCAGGAAUUUAGAAAAGAGGUGUAGUUUUUAUAAAGUGGCCAUUGAAAUGAACUAAACAGCUGAUCCGUAAGAGUUCCUUAUGUGUCCUUGGAGUCUUUGGUUUUUUGGCUGUAAUUUAAAAAUUCCAACUAGAAAGAUCCAAAAACCAAACUUUGCACUCAGCCAUGACAUUGUUUACUCACAGAAUAUACGAGAACUACAGUCUCUGAAGAGACAAAACUUCUGGGUCUCGCUUGUUGGUGUCACCAGCCCUGGUGGCCAAGGGCAGUGUGACUUCUAGGGAGUUGGUUCUUGGAAGUUGGUUCUAGGGAGUUGGUUCUUGACCAUCCCAGUCAAGCCACCUCUCUUCUUGCUCAGGACUUAGCCUAAGUGUUGGGGAGAAAAAUUGCCUGGCAGCAUAUUCCAAGCCCUGUGAUGACAAGGAUGCAGUUGACCAGCACUGAGACAAUGCUAAUGCUGGAGACCGUGGGCAGACCAAUAACGCCGCUUCUGCAUCAGCUUCCAACUCUACCUGAACAGUCCCAAGCAGUCAGCUGCACAGGAAAACCACCAGUUACUUGGGUGUCACUCAGCAACACUGGUCACGUUUGGAAAGAAAAUUAAAAAGAGAAAAAAAAACCUGUUCAUUUUAGUGUUCAAUUUUUUUAUUAUUAUUGUUCUUAUUUAACCUUGUAAAAUAUCUAUAAAUACAAACCAAUUUCAUUGUAUUCUCACUUUGAGGGAGACCCGGGGGUGGGAAGGGUUGUGGGGAGGGCUAACACGGAGCACUAGAACACACAGUCUCUCUCCCACGACAAUCUUUUUGUAUCAGAAAUCUGCUGUUGUGUAUACUUUAAAAACAGGACUCCUGCCUCAUGCCCCUUCCACAAAAGAAGAUGACUUUGUUCUGAGCUGAAGUUUUUUUUAACUUUCUUUUCUUUUAAAGUCAAGUGUAAGACUUUGGGUGCACAGCAUGAAAUUGGUUGGGAGCUUAGCAGGUGUAAUUCAGUGGGGACUUAAAGGUCACUUGUAAAAUUAAUCCAUAUCCUCGGGUGUUUGAAGACUUGCCUUUGGCAUGGUAGCAGGUGUGGCAGACCAGAAGGAAAUGUGUAGCAUUUGUAACCCAGGGAGAUCAAUAAAGUUUGAAACCAUAAGGGGAAGCUUCUCCAUUGAUAAAAUUUUGUUGUGCUCUUAAUCAGUGCUAGUGGUGAAGAAACAUAUGUAGGGGCUGGCAAGAGAGGGACAUGUGUGCUCUGCAGAUGGAUCUGUUUACUGACCAAAAGUUCUCUGCAAAUCUCAGUACAGUUUUAAGCUAGUGACCUAGGAGAAGACUAAAAAGGGUUGUAAGGCAGCCACUCUGGCUGCAGAAGUCAAAAGCUGAGGAACCUGGAGGAAGGGGCAGGUCGAGGCAGAUCUCAGUGCUGUGAAUGGAAUUACCAUUUAUUUUCUGAAGUUGCUUCCCUUGGAAAUACACUCGAAAGGACAAUACAGUUAAAUAAUGUGAACUGUAAUAGUCUACUGAUUUCUUUUUCAUAUUUUUUAAGUACAAAUUGGGCUUGCAGAAAUUGCCACAUUCUGCCUGUAGUUCUAGUUUUAAAUCCAAAUCUAGAAUCUGUAUUUCAGCUUUUUUUAACCUCAUGCUUUAAAAAUUUUAUUUAUUAAUGUAAGAUAGGUCAUUAUGAUUUUAGAUGGAACAUCAAAAACACAUCAAAAUGAUAUGAACAGUCACUACUUGCACCUGCUGACUUUACAGGAAAGCUGAUUAAAUGCGUGUGUGUGUGUGUGUGUGUGCGUGUGUGUGUAUGUGUGUGUAUAUACACACACACACACAUAGACUCAGUCCUGCCUUUUGUUUUUGUUUUUGUCCACAGUAUCAAAAUUGACCGGUUGAAGCACGAGAGGAAUGUUCCCCCCCACACAGUCAGGAGUUUUUGUUUCUGUUUCCUUUGUGUAUCAGUGAACGGCAUAAGAAUCCAUCUCUGUUUUGAUGAAAAAGCAAUAUUCCUUGGAAAGCAAGGAGAAUUGAAGGAUCAUGUUUGCAAUGAGGAAAUAGAUUGUCACAACUUGUUUGUUUUGUACUUUUAAGGUUGACAUCUCUGUGGGCCUUACAUACUCUGAAAUGAAUCUUAGUCACCUUGGUGCUUAUGGGCCAUUACUUGACCUAUGAAUCUUUAAGGCACAAUCAGUUGUACUUCACAUUAAAGAUCACUUAAGUGAUGGCCACUUUUCCCUCCUACCAGCUUCUUCCCCCAUACCUUCCAAGGUCAGCUGAUAACUGUGUGUCACCUCCCUCCACCCUCAUGGCCAUCUUCAGCCGAGGUAGGGGUCUCACCCUCCAGGUGACUAGGAAGUGGAGUCUCCUGGUGGCCCUCAUGCAGGUCCCAGCACCCUGUCCUGCUUCUUAACCAAGUGCGUGUGAUUGUCCAAGAGAGCCAUCCUCCCUGCUGAAGUGACCCCGUACCAGAAAGGCAACUGCGAGCCAUCUUGUCCUCACUGUCUGAAUAAGCUCUUCAGCCACAAAAGGGGUUAUCAAACCUCUGGUUCUGGAGAAAGGAGGCACACUUGGUCAAACAAAAUCAAACAAAUUGAAUUCUCUUUUCAUAAUGAGUUACUGAAUGCUAAUUAAGAUAUGAAAUAAAUCUGAAUCAAAGGGUAUUUGUCAGUUCCUAAAGGGAAUGGCUUUGAUAGACCAUUUUCAGAAAGGAUUUAUAAAGAAUCUAAACAGCAGGUCUGUUGAAAGAGAAAUAGACUUGCUCUUGGGCCAAACUGCCUAGCCAAACAUUUGAACAGGGACACCACUCUGUACUUAACAUACUUGCUAGGGUCCAUAAAAAUUUGUGCUUGUUUUAGGACACACUUCUCUGUCCCAUAAAUGGAAGAGAAGAAGAGGAAAGUCAGAUGCGCUUUUCUCAUUUGUGUGUGUGUGUGUGUGUGUGUGUGUGUGUGUGUGUGUGUGUGUGUGUGUGUGUGUGUGUGUGAAGGCUGACGUGUGUGAUUUUUCUUCCUCAAGGAUCAUGGUGGGAUCAUAGAGCUCAUACAAGUGAGAUUCAGGUCUCUAUCUUUUUGUAAAUAAUAAUAAUAAUAAUAAGCUCCUCACCAAAUUCAAGCUUGUACAUUAUAUUUUCUUUAAAUGUUUUUAAAUUUAAGUUUUAUUGUUUUGUAUGUAAAUAUGUGGACCCAGGAACUGUUAUUAAUGAGCAAAAAGUUACUGUUCAGGGCAGUGAUUCUGUUUAAUAAUCAAACAAAAUGUAGACGAGCUUUUUAAAGCCAUAUAGUUUUAACUCUGUACAGUAGGUACUGGCCUGUAUUAUUGUAACAAUAACUCUAGCAAUGUAUAGUGUAUCUAUAUAGUUUGGAGUGCCUUCGCUUCCAUGUGUUUGUUCGGGUUUUGUUUGUUUUUGUUUUUCAUUUUUAAAAUUGUAAUGGGUUUCUCUAGCCAUGUCAUCCUGCCUCACCCCUUUCCCUUUGAAAUAAUAGCCCACUCAUGACAGUUUAUUUCAGUGAUACCAUGCUCAGGAGUGGAAAGAGGAAAUGAUAUUCUUAAUCUCAUUUCAUUCAAGCCCUGCCUUUAUUUUCCUCCUCAGUAGCGGUGACCAGUUUCAUUUCAUACUUAGUCCGCCUAGGGCCUUAGUAUAGCUCCAGGAAGCCCUAGGGCUGGAGAAUAUCAAAUAGAAUAGAUUUUGCUCAUCUCUUCCCUAAGUCCUAAGCAUGGGUUUUUAUAAACAGCAGAUUCCGGGAGCCUUCCAUGCUCUCUCCUCCUUUAUCUACUUCCCUCCUAAAUGAGAGAGAGAGAGAGAGUUGGUUUUUAUAAAUCAAAGUUCCUUAAUAGUACCAGGUUUUGCUACAUCAUGGUCUAAAAUGAUACCAUGCGAUUACUUGCAGUUACCACAGGAGCCUUGCUGACAGAGUACUGUUGUUUAACAAGGGAACUCAGCCCAUUCCCUUCCUACUGCCACCUCUACCCCUGUUCAAUUUCAUUGUUUUUUUUUAAGUCAGUUUCUUACUGUGUGCCCAUCAUGAAGGCCUUUUUUGAAGGAAAAAAAUUUUUUUUUGACUCCAAGUACUUCAUAGAAGAUGUCUUGAGUAGAAGAAAAAAACUUUACCAAACCAAAGGUUGCUAUUUUUGAAACAUCAUGUGUUCAUUCCAGCAAGGCAGAAGACUGCACCUUCUUCCCAGUGACGUGUGAUUUUAAGUCCUCUUAUUUUUAGACACACGUUUUUGGUUUGUGUUUCAACAAAGCCUGCCUAAACCAGUCAUCUUGUCUGCACCAAUGCAAAGGUUUCUGAGAGGACUGUCAUAUUCUCUAUCCCUGUGGAUAUAAAGACACUGGCAUUUCAUUUCUUUUUCCCUUUCCUUUUUAAGGGACUAAGCUUUGGAAUCUUCCAGAGGAAGUUCGGCCAAUGCCAGAUCCCCAGGAGUUUGGGGUUUUUGUUUGUAUUAAACCAAAAUUAUAUCUGAUUCCUAUUCAUGUUAGUGAUCAUCUACUCACAGAGCUGAACACUUUCUCCCGUAGAGAAGACUAAGCAUGCUUCACGGUAAAAUCUGUCUUACCUGGUAGAAACCUGAGCCACUGAAAAUAAAGAGACAGCUAGAAGCAGAGUAGAGUCUCAGACUAAGGUCUAUGUUUGAGAGGCUUUGAAAGUAAUCCCUGGGGUUUGGGUUAUUUUCACAAGGGUUAUGACUUUUUAUUCAAGUUUGUUGCUCCAUUUUGCGCUUCUGCAAUAAAAGCAAAAUGACAACCAGUACAUAGGGGGUUAGCUUGACAAAGUAGACUUCCUUGUGUUCAUUUUUUAAGUUUUUUUCCUAUUAUCUGUCUACAGGAAGAUACAGAUGUUUGAAAAUGUGCUUGCCUGUAAAAUUUGCUUUUAUAAAUGUGUUGCCGAUGGAUCACUUGGGCCUGUACUCAUACAAUUAGCGUGACCACUUCCAUCGUAAAAAAAACUUAAAAAUUUAUUUUAUAUAUAUAUAUAUAUAUAUAUAUAUAUAAACGACUGUGGGUUGUAUACAAACUAUUGCAAACACUUGUGCAAAUCUGUCUUGAUAUAAAGGAAAAGCAAAACCUGUAUAACAUUACUACUUGAAUGCCUCUGUGACUGAUUUUUUUUCAUUUUAAAUAUAAACUUUUUUGUGAAAAGUAUGCUCAAUGUUUUUUUUCCCUUUCCCCAUUCCCUUGUAAAUACCUUUUGUUCUAUGUGACUUGGUUUGGAAAUAGUUAACUGGUACUGUAAUUUGCAUUAAAUAAAAAGUAGGCUAGCCUGGAAAUGAAAUUAAAA